UGGUAGAGCCUUGUGCACUGUAAGUUUUGGGAGAAGAGCAGGGAAAACCAAGAAAGAGGUGUCAGGCUUGAGGCCCGAGAAGAAUGACUGACGCCUCCAGCACUCCUCUGAGUGCCCAGCAGUGUCCUUCCAGUUCUGCUGUCAUGGAUCAGCACCUGUAUCCUCUUUACCAGCCUGAAGUCCUGCUUCACACAGGUCAACAACAGGGAAUCUUCCAAGUGCCUCUGAUGCUGAGCUUGCCGAUAACAGUCAUCAAUAUGCCCUGUAUUCCGGUGACUCUUAAUCUUCAAAUGACCCCUUCUUUCCCAUGGAAUCCCAGCCAGCCCGUGACUAUUCC